UCGAGAUUAUGGGGUUUCUAGAGUGCAAGAUCACGGUUUUUACAUGGAUUAGGAAGAGAUUUUGAUAACAAAAGAAUUUAAACCAUAGAUCUAUGAAUAAUCUUACCUUAGAUGAUGAUUUACUUGCAAAAUCCUCUUGGAAAGUCCCUAAAUUUCGAGAUCUUUGGAGAGGGGAGGGAAGGAGAGUUCUUUGAGUGUUCUAGAGAGAAAGUUGAGAUAUUUUGGUGUGUGUGAUGAUGCUUGGCCGAGAGUGAGAGAGGAGAGAAGAAGAAAUGACUUUUGAAGUGAUUUGCAUGGAGAUAUGGACUAAGAUGCAUGGAGACAUGUUGGGUAAUAAUGAGGUGGCAAGCAAAUAGUCAACCCUUCUUCUUGGGCUUUUCUUUUGGGCCGAAAAUGGGAAGGAAAAAAAAAGUUUUUGGGCUUUUUGCUCCUAAGCCCAACAUUAGUGUUAAUUAGGGUAUUUAUUGGACUUAUAAAAUAAAAUUGUGAUUUUUGUGCUUUAUUAAGCUAGGUUAGGUUUAAUUAUGGAUCAAAACUUGUGUUUUAUUUCCUUCUAGGUUCUACCUAGCCCAAAAUAUUGAAAUAAACGAAUGUGGGUCCAAUUAGAGCCCAAUUAGGGUCCUAAACCCAUGAUAGUCCAAUUGGAAGCUUAUUGGUCCAUUUGGAUCCAAUAAGGAAGUCUUAGUCCAAAAUGGACUUAACCAAAACUUCUAGGGUCUCCAAUUGUUUGAUGACUAUCUAUAGUACUUGUAUCUUGUAUUUGGUUAAAGUUUUUGAUUCACAUUAACUUGAAUGUAUAGAUUACAUAGCUUAAAAUUCACAGUUGUGACAUCAUCCCCCCGUUAAAGGGAAUUUCGUCCCGAAAUUCUGUUUGAAAGCUAGAUUUGAGAAAACUAGAAUAGGUGAGGGUACUUCUGCUUCAUUUGAUCUUCGCGUUCCCACGUGAAUUCUGGCCCACGCUUUGCGUUCCACCGUACCUUCACGAUCGGGAUGCGACUCUGCUUAGUACGCUUCACCUCCCUGUCCAUGAUUUCGAUUGGUUCUUCGACGAACAGGAGAUUCUCAUUGAUUUCGAUUUCGUCAAGAGGAAUGACAAGGGUUUCAUCUGAUAGGCACUUUUUCAGAUUAGAAACAUGAAACACGGGGUGCACACCGUUUAGCUCCGGGGGUAGUUGUAGUCUGUAGGCUACCGGACCUAUUCGGGCGACGAUUUCGAAAGGUCCAAUGUACCGUGGGUUUAGCUUUCCUCGUUUUCCGAAACGUAUAACCCCUUUCCAGGGUGAGACCUUCAACAAUACUCGAUCACCGACCUGGAACUCUAAGGGCUUUCGCCGUUUAUCAGCGUAGCUCUUUUGCCGGUCACGCGAUGCCUGUAAUCGAGCUUUGAUCUGGACAAUCUUUUCUGUGGUCUCGCGAAUGAUUUCCGGUCCUGUCAUUGCCCUAUCCGACGUAUGUGUUCUUGCUAGCUGGGUGUCACCUACUUCAGCCCAACAUAACGGUGAUCUACAUUUACGCCCGUACAGUGCUUCGAAAGGGGCCACCUUAAUGCUCGAAUGAUAACUAUUGUUAUAUGAAAACUCGAUCAACGGUAGGUGGGUAUCCCAAGACUUUCCGAAGUCUAUCACACAUGCACGAAGCAUGUCUUCAAGCGUCUGAAUGGUUCGUUCGCUUUGACCGUCCGUUUGUGGGUGAUACGCGGUGCUCAUAUCAAGAUGAGUUCCCAUUGCCUUGUGGAGCGACUGCCAAAAGCGUGACGUGAACCUACUGUCCCUAUCCGAGAUGAUAGAUUUUGGCACUCCAUGAAGUCUUACAAUCUCUCGUAGGUACAAACGCGUCAGCCUCUCCAUCUUGUAGGACUCUUUGAUUGGCAGGAAAUGGGCAGAUUUCGUCAGUCGGUCGAUUAUUACCCAUAUGGUGUCCAAUCCGUCCGACGUCUUGGGCAGCUUGGUCACGAAGUCCAUAGAAAUCCCCUCCCAUUUCCACUCAGGGAUUGCCGGUUGCUGUAACAAUCCGGAAGGUUUCUGGUAUUCCACUUUUACUUUGGCACACGUAAGGCACUUACUAACAUAAGUUGCGAUUUCCGCCUUCAUGUUAGGCCACCAAUAGUGCUGCUUAAUGUCCAAAUACAUCUUGUCCGAACCAGGAUGAAUGGAGUAUCGUGUCUUGUGGGCUUCCUUCAUAACGGUCUCCCUGAAUCCUCCGAUUUUUGGAACCCAAAUACGGUUCAUGAAGUAGUAUACCCCAUUCUCUUUGACUUCCAGGUUCUUCUCCAUUCCGCGUAAUGCCUCGCUAGUUCUAUUUUCCGCUUUCAUAGCCUCUGCCUGGACUGAUGCAAUUUGAGUGGUCAGAUGAGACUGAAUGGUUAUCGAGUGCGUUUUCGUACGGCGAUUUGUGUAUUCCUUCCGACUUAAUGCGUCAGCUACCACGUUGGCCUUGCCUGGAUGGUACUUGAUCUCGCAUUCGUAGUCGUUUAACAAUUCCACCCAUCUUCGUUGUCUCAUGUUCAGCUCCUUCUGAUUCAAGAUGUGCUGGAGGCUCUUGUGGUCCGUAAAGAUGGUGCACUUUGUACCGUACAGGUAGUGCCUCCAAAUUUUUAGAGCGAAGACCACAGCUCCCAGUUCUAGGUCAUGGGUUGUGUAAUUUACUUCGUGCGCCUUUAGUUGACGGGACGCAUAUGCUAUCACUCUUCCACGUUGCAUGAGAACGCAACCUAAGCCUUGAUUUGACGCGUCACAGUAAACUACAAAAUCUUCCGUUCCUUCAGGUAGAGAUAGUACAGGAGCGCUGCAAAGAGCUUGCUUCAAGGUUCGAAACGCAAUCUCUUGUCGGUCUGUCCACUUGAAUGGCACACUCUUUUGCGUAAGCAAGGUAAGUGGCUUGGCGAUUUUUGAGAAGUUUUGGAUGAAUCUCCUAUAGUAGCCUGCUAGGCCUAAGAACUGACGAAUUUCUGUGGGCGUAGUCGGAGUUGCCCAUCCUUCCACAGCUUUGACCUUAGAGGGAUCCACAUGAAUUCCAUCUUGGCUAACUACGUGACCUAGAAAAUUCACGCUCCGUAGCCAAAACUCACACUUAGAGAGUUUGGCGUAAAGCCUUUCCGAUCGCAGCGUUUCUAGGACUUGUCGGAGAUGUUGGCCAUGCUCCUCUUUGCUUCGAGAAUAGACGAGGAUGUCAUCGAUAAACACAAUGACGAAGUUGUCCAAGAACGGUCGACAGAUUCGGUUCAUUAGGUCCAUAAAUGCGGCAGGUGCAUUUGUUAGACCGAAGGGCAUUACGACGAAUUCAUAAUGUCCAUAGCGGGUUCGGAAAGCGGUUUUAGGAAUAUCUUCUUCUCGGACCUUGAGUUGAUGGUAUCCGGACCGUAGAUCUAUUUUAGAAAAAUAGCUAGCUCCUUGGAGCUGGUCGAAUAGAUCAUCGAUUCGCGGGAGUGGGUAGCGGUUUUUAACAGUGAGUUUAUUCAACUCUCUGUAAUCGAUGCACAUUCUGAAAGAUCCGUCCUUCUUUUUGACAAAGAGCACCGGAGCUCCCCAUGGCGAGUAGCUAGGUCGGAUAAAUCCCUUGUCCAGAAGCUCACUGAGUUGGCUGGACAAUUCCUGCAUUUCAGCAGGUGCCAACCGAUAUGGUGAUUUAGCGAGAGGAGUUGCUCCUGGAACGAGGUCGAUUCGGAACUCAACCUGUCUCUCUGGGGGUACUCCUGGAAGAUCUUCGGGAAACACGUCCGGAAAUUCACACGCUACCGGAAUGUCUUGGAUGUUAGUUUCUUCUUUGGUCUUGUCCACUAUGUGGGCCAAGAACGCUAAGUUGUUCUUUCGCAGAUGUUUUUGUGCUUUGAUGCACGAGAUAAGACGAAGAUUCGUGCUAGGUUUGUCUCCGUAAAUUACUAGGGUUUCGUGAUUCGGGAGACGAAGGCGAACGGCCUUCUCGUGGCACAUAAUCUCAGCAUGGUGGGGGCUUAACCAAUCCAUGCCGAUAAUCACAUCGAAACUCCUAAUUGAUACUGGCAUUAGGUCUAUUCGAAAGACGUGCUGGUUAAGGGUUAGGGUACAUCCGAUGUAGAUCUCCCUAGUGGAUUCGGUUUUCCCAUUGGCCAUUUCCACCGUAUAGGUUUCAUUUAGCUUCUGGGGUUGUUGUUUUAGUAAAUGUUUAAACUUCUCGCUUACGAAACUUCGCUCCGCUCCGGUAUCAAAUAAGAUGCAUGCAUAAGUGUGGUUUAGGAGAAACGUACCGGUCACAACUGCGGGAUCUUGAACUGCAUCACUCUGACCCAUAGUCAGCAUUCUUCCUGUUCCUCUGUUUCCGGAGUUGUUGUUGUUGUUAGGGCAAUCUCGACGGAAAUGUCCCGUCCUUCCACACCCGAAACAGGUGUGGCUAGGCCCUGCGUUGUUGCCGCCGGCAUUGGUGUUGUUGAUGUUGCGGUGAUUGUUGUUGUUGUUCUGGUUGUUUCCCUGACUCUGGUUCUGAGAAGGAUAAGUCCUGCAGAACUUUGCAGUGUGUCCCCUUCGGUUGCAACUGGUGCAAUGGAACUCCCUACAUUCUCCUUGGUGAUGGAAACCGCACUUGUUGCAUUUGGGAUGAGUGCCGGAAUAGGGUCUUGAAGUAUUUGAAGUAGCUGAGGCUGGAGCAUGUGAUGUGACUGGUACCGGCGCAGUGACAGCGUGAACUGCCACCGUUUGCUGCUUUUUAGAGGUCUCGGGACCUUGACGCCCCUUCCUCUUGUUGUUCCAUCCCUUCUUACCAUCGCUCUCCUUCUUCUUCUCAGUCUCUACCGGUUUCUCGCCCUUUUUGUGGUUAUGAUCAUAGAGCCUCUUUGCCAAUCUCUUCGCGCUGUCAAACGUUUCAGGGUUAGCAGCUAUCACAUUCCCUUGAAUGGGGGAUGUCAAUCCCCAAAUGAAUCGUUCAAUCUUCUUCCCCUCUGAUGUGAUCAUACCCGGGCACAACAGAGAUAGUUCGCUGAAUCUCGAUAUGUAAGCAUCGAUGUUCCCAUUCUGCACCGUGAGAUUCCAUAGUUCCUGCUCCAUCUUCUGUAUUUCGCCUCGGGGGCAGUACUCAGCCGUCAACAUCUCUUUCAUCUCUGCCCAGGGAAUAGAGUUGGCGACAGGGAGUGUCAUAGCUUCCACAUGACCAUUCCACCAAGUGAGUGCUUGGUCCACAAAAGUGCAGGCCGCGAACUUCACUUUCAUCUGCUCGGGGCACUCGCAUAUCUCGAAUACCGACUCUACCUUCUCGAUCCAUCGCUUUAGGGCGAUCACUCCUCCGGUACCGUUGAAAGUUCGGGGUUUAGCGUUCGCAAAAUCCUUGUAGGUGCACGUUUUAGUGAGUCCUUGGUUCGUCCCGUUGUUCGAACUUCCGGAUCCUUGCCCGUUACCUCCUCCGUUGUUCCCUCGGUGAAGUUGUGCCAUAGCCGCUGUGACCGCAGCAGACACGGCUGCCUGGAAAGCAGUGGAGUCAACUUCCGGCGGGGUUGGUUCGGGAUUUCCGCGAGUAGCUGGGCGAGGCAUCUUUCUGUCAUGAAACGGAAAGAUGUUGAGUGUACGUGGUUUCGGUGAGGUUAUGAUCCUACUAACUAGGUGUAGGGUACGAACCUAAGCAUUACUAUCAUCAAGCAUACAAUCAUAACACCUCAACACAUAACAACUGAGAAUAUCAUAGCAAAACACACAAAAGUUUAUUAAUAUUAUCCGUGUUUAGUACAAGAAAAUUUGCUCGUAGGAGCAUACAUAAGUAACACUAAUCCGACAGCAUAACGGCUCCAUGAGUAGUGUAGUCACUUAAACAUAGAGCCGGAGUACAUAACAUAGUUACUAAUAUCCUACUACGAUAGGUCUAUCCCUAACCGCGAUGAGCUGCGUCAGGAGGUGGUGCCGAAGUCAUAUGCCGAAAUGUUGCGCCAGUAGCUGCGCCAUCUCUGCCAUGUCUCCUAUAACUUCAUCCCUCUCGUGCUCUGCUCUCACUGCCCGAGCUUCCAUAGCAUACAGCUGUUGUCGCAGUGCGGCGAUCUCAGCUUCGAGGGAACGGUUCUCCCUUGGGGGGUUCACUGGUGGAGCGGGGUGAUCUGGUUGUGCCUCGUCCUCGCAUGGUGGGAUGGGGUCCUGGCCCCCGACCUGACCCUCCUCGUCGUCAUCGUCGACCUCUCCAAAUUCGUAGUCGGUGUCUAUAUAUUCGUCGGGUUCGACGUCGUGUGCUUCUCCUGGAUGCUCUCCCGGCUCAUCCACCAGCAUCCCGUGAGCUACUAAGGCCUGAUGAAACUGGAUACCCGGCUGCUCCUCCUCAGGCUCCUCCUCCUCCUCUAGCCACCCGUUGUUUCCCUGAUUAGGGAAGUAGGGGUCUCCAGGGUGAUGAAAACCAGCCAUGCUGUCUGCGCGAGUACGUAAUUAUGCUACAUUAUUCCUAGGGUACUAUGACUAUUACACAGACUAAGCAAAUAUUCUCUUUUUGGGUGAUAUAGGGUAUAAUUUUUAGGUUCCCUGGCUAUUCCGAUCUCAUCAAGACAUGUGUUAGUUUUACCUUGGAGAGAAUGUAGUUGAUCAGGCUACAUUCACUCCUUGGUAUCACUAAGAACAGUCCCGAAUUAACCGAGAUACCAGUAUUAUGGUGUUUGAUUCAGCGUUAGGUCCUUACUCCUAAUGCAAGCAAGUGUAUUUUAUUCAUUUGUUUUGUUCAGAGUUAUGUUAGUCCCUCUUUUUGGUUUAUAGUUGCAUAUCAAUGUAUGGCUCGACAUGCUAGUUCACUAUAAACAAAGCUCUGAUACCAACCUGUCACACCCCCGAACCAGACGGCGGAAACGUCCGGGGGCUGUCGUGACUCAAUUGAAUACCAUAACAUUGAAUAUAUAUGAAACAAAACAACAUUCGUCACCAUUCAUCAACAUAAUACAACCAGUAGUGUUUACAUGUCAUACAUUGUUUGAGAUAUUACAUUUCCAAAAAUUAAUAUUGUUUGGUUCAUUCAAAAAUAAACUGCAACCGUCACUGAGCAUGAUUUCCCUUGAUUCACUGGUUUCCUGAGAAUACAAGUAUUUUGAAAAACGUCAACAUAUGAAAUGUUGGUGAGUUCAUAAGUAGUGUUUGAAAUCGAAUGUUUAUAUUGUUUGAAAAACCACCAGAAAAUCCGAUAUUUUCUGAAAAGAAAAGCUUUCAAAAACGUUUGUGAAGAUCCAUAGGUAUGCUUGUUUGUUUCUAUACUUGCAAAAAUUGUUCAUUUAAGAUGUAUGCGUUUAAAAUCUGUAUGUGAUAAAAACCCUAGGGAAACCCGAUGUUCCCCUAGUUCUUUUGAAAUCCAUUGAGUUGCGUUGAAACCAUUACAAAAAUAGUAGUAUCGGUCCCAAGCGACGUUGGAAGGUUCUCGAGCAUUGAUUAUUUACUACAAACCCGCAUUACACAAAUGCCCGGUUUAUAGAUAUACCAACGAUUCCCGAAGGCGUCGUCAGUACUAAUCACGUUAUCCAAUCGCCCGGACUAUGAGUGGUCCCACAUCCGAAGAGAAAGAGGUCACGAAGACCCCGGUAACUCUAUUAACCGGCUGGGGAAAAAUGUGUGCGAGGGGUCCCCGACCCGCCUCGUAAAAUGUGUAGACUUUUCUAGCAAUACCAUGGCCCUUGGGGUCCAAUGAUACAAGCCAUUGAAAGUCACCCUACGUUGUGCCAAGUCGGUAAAACUCAACACUUCGUAGAAAAAAAAUUUCUUCGGGCCUUAAGAUCAGGUCAUUGGGCUAGCUAGGCCCAACAAACAAGAUUUUACACUUUUGGGGCCCGAAGAUGGUGCGUAGACGUCUGUGCACACUCGUAUGUAUGUGUAUUACCAAUCGUUAUUUGUAUGUAUCAAAGAGUUAGUAGUUGUAGAUUUCCAUUGGCUCGAGACCGAGCCAAUUCGUUUAGCAACGACUUUUGGUAUUGUAAUGAGUUGUAUUUCGUUGAUAGUUGAGGUAUCAUUAUUUGAUCAAAUUGUACAUAAUGAAUCAGCCUUGAAAUAUUUCUGUUUUCAGCCCCUCAUUAUUUGUAAAAUUUACAUUUUCAACCCUUUUAUUUAAAUAUUUCCCGGUUUGGUCCUUAAACUAUUUUUCUUGACAUUUUAACACCAAAAAUUAUUGAAAUUAAUAUUUUCCAGCAUAUUUUUCAAAGAAAACAGUUUAAGUCCCUGAAAAUGCAGUUUUUCUCGGUUUUAGCCCAUCUUUUCGCAAUUUUGACAAUUUUGGCCCAAAAUGGAAAAUUUUUGCAACUUUGGUCCUUUUUAAAUUUAAAAAGCAUUUUAAACCUUUGAAAAGGGUUUGGGACACUUAUAGUCCACUGUUUUACAGAAAGUUACAGUUUUGGCCCUCCAAAACAGAAAAAUUCGCAUAAUGGGCCUUAUUGGGCCGAAAUUUGCAUUUUUAGCCCAAUAGGCUUGAAAUUUAUGUUUUUAAUCCACCAAUUGAAUAGAAUUCCAGAAAUAGCUUUAUUGAAACUGUUUUGACACAUUUCAACCAUCAGAAUCUGUAAAAUGUCAUUUUGGGCCCUUAAUUUUGUAUUUUUCACAUUUUUGGCCCAAAAUGUGUGUUUUUAGCUUAAAGAAAAUUGUUGCUAACCACUUGGCUAUUUAUCUAGUAUCACUUAUUAUGUAGGAACAUAUUUGAAGCUAAUAUCAUAAAACAUGAGUUAUAUCUCGGUUUUGAGGGGUUUAAUGGCUAGAUCCAACAUUAAAACACAUAUAAGCAUACAUAUAAGCAUGGAAAUCAUACAAGGCAUACAAAUACAUAUAGAUCUACACUUUCACUUGUAUUCCCCCCCACAAAAACUCUUAAAAACAGAAAAUAGGGGUAUGAAUCUCACCUUGGGUGUGUAGUUUCGGUUCUUGAAGAAAAAUUGGAAGAAAUGAAGUGAUUUUUGGCCCUUGCACUCCUUGAUGAAUUUUUCGAGAUUAUGGGGUUUCUAGAGUGCAAGAUCAUGGUUUUUACAUGGAUUAGGAAGAGAUUUUUAAUAACAAAAGAAUUUAAACCAUAGAUCCAUGAAUAAUCUUACCUUAGGUGAUGAUUUACUUGCAAAAUCCUCUUGGAAGGUCCCUAAAUUUCGAGAUCUUGGAUGGAGAAGAGGAAGAAGUCUUGAGUGUAUUUUAGAGAGAGUUUGUGAGUGUUUUGUGUGUGUGUGUGCAAACUCUCGGCCAAACAAGAAGAAAGAGAAGAGAAAGAGUUUGAGUUGACAUUCCUUGGUACAUGUUGGUCCAUGCAUGGAGAUAUGUGGGAUAAUAGUGAGGUGGCAAGUGUUAAGUCAACCCUUCUUCUUGGGCUUUUCUUUUGGGCCGAAAAUGGGAAGGAAAAAAAAAGUUUUUGGGCUUUUUGCUCCUAAGCCCAACAUUAGUGUUAAUUAGGGUAUUUAUUGGACUUAUAAAAUAAAAUUGUGAUUUUUGUGCUCUAUUA
rnacentral:lncRNA from 1 species